ACGACCUUACUUGAACAGGAUCUGUUCUAUAGGCUCGUACCGUUGCAUCCUUUACCGAAAAGGAGGCAAGCACUCAAGUCUGGUUGAUGAGACUAUGACCUCUGGGCCAGAGCGUGAUUAACGGCCUCGGUGCUCUGGAUCGGAGCCAUCCGACGGCUGUAGAUGAUCGUUCCUGCCUGGUUUCACCGCCAGAGCAGGGUGGCUUCACCGCCAGAGCAGGGUGGCUUAGAGGUUGUCUGACAGACC
rnacentral:snoRNA from 1 species